AAAGGAAUAGACGGGGACCCGCACAAGCGGUGGAGCAUGUGGUUUAAUUCGACGCAACGCGAAGAACCUUACCAGGGCUUGACAUCCCUUGAUGACCGUAGAGAUACGGAGUUCUAUGCUUCGGUAUAGACAAGGAGACAGGUGGUGCAUGGUUGUCGUCAGCUCGUGUCGUGAGAUGUUGGGUUAAGUCCCGCAACGAGCGCAACCCCUACUUUUAGUUGCCAGCAGUAAGAUGGGCACUCUAAAGGAACUGCCGGUGACAAACCGGAGGAAGGUGGGGAUGACGUCAAAUCAUCAUGCCCUUUAUGUCCUGGGCUACACACGUGCUACAAUGGCCGGUACAGAGGGUUGCGAAGGAGCGAUCCGGAGCGAAUCCCAAAAAGCCGGUCUCAGUUCGGAUUGCAGGCUGCAACUCGCCUGCAUGAAGUCGGAAUCGCUAGUAAUCGCGAGUCAGCAUAUCGCGGUGAAUACGUUCCCGGGUCUUGUACACACCGCCCGU
rnacentral:rRNA from 1 species